AUUGAACGCUGGCGGCAGGCCUAACACAUGCAAGUCGAGCGGAUGAUGGGAGCUUGCUCCUGGAUUCAGCGGCGGACGGGUGAGUAAUGCCUAGGAAUCUGCCUGGUAGUGGGGGACAACGUUUCGAAAGGAACGCUAAUACCGCAUACGUCCUACGGGAGAAAGCAGGGGACCUUCGGGCCUUGCGCUAUCAGACGAGCCUAGGUCGGAUUAGCUUGUUGGUGAGGUAAUGGCUCACCAAGGCGACGAUCCGUAACUGGUCUGAGAGGAUGAUCCGUCACACUGGAGCUGAGACACGGUCCAGACUCCUACGGGAGGCAGCAGUGGGGAAUAUUGGACAAUGGCGAAAGCCUGAUCCAGCCAUGCCGCGUGUGUGAAGAAGGUCUUCGGAUUGUAAAGCACUUUAAGUUGGGAGGAAGGGUUGUAGAUUAAUACUCUGCAAUUUUGACGUUACCGACAGAAUAAGCACCGGCUAACUCUGUGCCAGCCGCCGCCGUAAUAC
rnacentral:rRNA from 1 species